UUGUGAAGGGAUCAGACAGGUAGAUGAUGAGCGUGGGUACCCUUGAUAGUGGUUACAGUGUUGGAUCGGGGUCUGGGAAGAGAUCCAGGGGCUGCAUGACUGGAAGAAACUUCAUCAUGGCAGAGAGCUGAGUCACAGCUAGCCUGAGAGUUAAGACUGCAACAGGGAAAGAGCAGUAAUAAGCCAGAGGCACUUUCUCAGGGGCUGAAGAGGACGUGGACCCCUCUAUGGAUUGUGUUUUUGUUAGGGUUUGAGAAUUGACUGAUAUAGGAGGAGGUCUGUGGAACAGGCAUGCCCUGAGAAUAAAGGACUGUAUCAUGUUUCAAGGUGAAAUCCAUACAGCCAAGCGGGUACUGGUUGUGCUUCAUGGGAGAAGCCACUGCUAAUCAUGGUAGAGAGAAAAAGAUUUGAGAACUACAGACCAUCAAGGCCCAAGAAGGAAGAAAAAAAAAAAAGAUCAUACCUUGGAGUACAGGAGGCAUACUGGUCAACAAUCCAAUUUCCGAUACCAGCCUGGCAGCCUGGACAGCUGCAUGCACCUGCACAUAAGCAACUACACUGACAGAGGAGUUUCCUCUACAGCACCCAACCUCUUGAGGCCACACCCAAGGAGACAUGAGUAUAGAUGUGGAACAAAAGGCUGAAAAAAAUACCUGACGGUGAAAAAUGGACAUUCCAGGAGCUGAGUUUUCAUUAACAGGGGCUGAUGAACCAUGGCAAAGGUGGCAAUGUCUCAACCACCUAUGCACUGGAGUUGGAUGCUCAAAGGGACUAAUGAAGAAGUGGGGCUAUAACAUUGGUUCAACUACCUGCAACUGCAGCACAGCAUCAGACUAUGCAGCACCUGCUGCGGUGCCUGCUGCUUGAAGACACAUGUACAAUGAAAGCUCUUGCAAAGUGCAAGCAAUGAGUACAAGCAUAUGUAACAAAAUUGUUAAAUGUGGUGUAGAGCCAUGAGAAAAAGAAGAAUACAGGAUGCCAGUUUUUACAUGCAUUCUGGACUCCUUUGACCAAACUGUAAAUUAUUACAUCUGGUGCUACCUGCCACACAUGUGAAAACACAUCUGUGCAUACACUACUCAUUAAACAGAGAGCCCAAUCCCAUAAAUUUACUUGAAGAAUUUCUGUUAUCAGAUCUUUUGAAUAUAUAGUUUGAAUCUUUUCAGAAGAAUCAGUCUCCAUGUAUAACAGAAAAAAUUCCAGUGUCAGUAUGUUUGUUAGUGGUUAGGUACAGUUAUGCUAUAUGAAGUUCCUGAAAGUAAGUGCUUAUUUAAGAACAUAAUCAAUUAUAUUGAGUAGUGUUUUCUUAAACUUCACAUGGCAAUAAUGUCUUCUUGUCAUUUAUAAACUAUAAAAUACAAUCCAAAAUUAAAUUUUUAAUUAUAUUCGGUAUUUCUCAGCCUACUGAUGAUACCAGCCAUCUGGCUGAAAAGUGUCGUUUACAGGCCUUAUUGUAGAUUCUCCAAGCAGUUUUCAAUCUGAUUUAAUAUAGAAUUAGUUUAAUAGGGAGGAGAGCAGUUUAAAGUCUAUUCAUAUUUUAUGCCUUGAACUGUGAGGGCCUAUUUAGGAUAUAAAUUACUGGAGGAGAGAUCCUGCAAUGUACCCUUUCUCUCAAAAUUUACUGUAGCUUUAACUGGUGAGCAUUCCUCCUAAUUUGGCCCUGUAUGUAGAAAGUCUGCAUUCACCAGUGGGAAAGGAGAACUGGAAAAAAAAAACACGUCCACGUUCCUGGCUAUCAUUGCCAAAGGGUGGUAAGCCCAGGAUGGAUCAAGCCAUAUGCUUUAUCAUUAAUAUUGAUGACAUGCUGAUUUCAUGCAAUGGCAUGUUCCUUUCCAUUACUGACUAGAGUCGGAAAUUGAGUCAGCUCAAGAAGCAAGUAGAAUCCUGAUAAGAGACUGCAUUUACAGACUGUUAUAAUACUUAUUUCUGAUGUCACUUAUGCUUGUCAGUAGCAGAUCCUAACUCAAAUGAACCAGCUAAAUCAUAAUAUCACAUGUAAUAUCUGAGCACAGGUAAAGUAUAUAAUCUUCCUUAGAGAAAUCAGAACAUCCCAUACAUCUGACUGAUUUUUUUAAUUGCUGUGGGACACUUGAUAACAAUAAAUGGCAUUUAAAUAUCCAAAUCCACAAUACUAGCUUCAGCAUCACUGCAAGUGCUUUCACACUUCUAUGCGCACAGAUUUUGCAUGAUGUCAUGCAAUAUCUGAUAUUCUUUUAGGACAGAACUGGCUUUGCCUAUUCUUCUUUUCCCUAUACUUAAUCAGAAAUUCACACU